UGACUUCAUUUCUUACCAAGUUCCUUUUGGAGAAUGGAAUGGGUAUACUUUUUUGGAAAAAGGUUUGGUGUCAUUGAAUCUCAACUUGGCACUGAAGGAGUUGCAGCAUCCAGGGUUUUCAGAGAAAACAUCUCUAUUGUUGUAGAUUAAGAUAAAACCAGACAAAUCCUAUUUAAUGGAGCCAAUCAGGGAAUUUUAUCCGAGUUGAAAUCUAAUUCUGGAAAUCAUAUUAAUGGAGAUAGCACACAUUGUUGCUCUCAGCAGAGAGUUGGAUUUGCAGUAGCCGACGCCAACGGUAAUUCUGAAAUUUUCGUAGCUGCGUGCUCGUUCUGUGACACAAAAGUGUGCAAUUACUGUGGGUCAAAUUGUUCAAAAUGCUACAAACUAUUCUGCUCUCAUUGUUCCAUCCCGGAUUAUAGCUGCACAAAUACAGUGUACAUUUGUCACACAUGUUAUUGCUAAAUCAAGAAAAAUGGAUGCAGAUGGUGUCUUACUGAAUCAUUCUGUAUGAUCUUCAGUAGCUGUUGGUUUGAAAAUAAAAUAGUAAUGAAUCAAGAUGGUGAUGGUCUAGUUGGAUUCCACAUUCAAUAAGCAUCUGUUGCAGGUAACUUCUAGUCAUAGUCCUAAUUGAGUAGGAGUGAUAAUAAAUUUGAAACAAUAUUUUCAUAAAAUACAGAUUAAUAUUCUAAUUAGGUAAUUCGUAAGUUCGUUGUAUUGAAAAGGCUGUUUUAAAAUUUUGAAUGUAAGUAAAUUAGUUAAGUUAUGCUUGGUACUGUUUCCAUAAGGGUGCAAAAUGUGAUAACCACGAAUGAUCGUGCUCCUGCUCACAGUGAAAAAAUAGUGAAUAGUUUCAUCUACAGGUCCUUUCAUGUUCAGUGAGUGAUGCAACCCAAAUAUACCGAUUUCCUUGAAAUUUUUUUUGGUGAACGGAAAAUACUGUCAAGUAAUAACCGUUGGUACAUUUUUACCUCUUGGGACCCAAAACUUUGAAAGUUAAAAAAUAUUCAGAUUUUUUCCGAUUUGGCCUCUGAUGUGCAAAGUCUUGUACCCAAGAAAUUUAUGUCUCUGCAAGAAAUGUAUAAAUAUUCCUCAACAUAUCACUGAUCACUCAAGAGUCUAUCAAGCUCUAAGAGAAAAAUGUUUCAUGACCUUUGCUACUUUCUGAAGCUAUCAGAUUUUAGCACCAUCAGGUAUCAUUUUCUUUCCUUUUAAUACCAUCUUGUUUAAAUUGUGAAAUUUCAAAAUAUAUUUGUGCAUUUCUUGGAAAAAUGUGAGUUUCUUUGGUACCAGACUCGGGAAAUUAGAGGCCGAAACAGUAAAAAUGUGAAUAUUUUUUUCUUUCUGGUCGGAAGAACUAAAAAAUUUUACAGCUUUAAAGUAGUGUCGGUGGGUUACAUCACUGAAUCACUCGGUGAAAAAUGACCUUUUGAGUAUUUUCUAACUGUUGACAUUGUUCUUUAACUUGGUCUGAGCACUUAUUUGUUGCCAUGCACAAGACAUAUUCUCAUUGAUGUAUUUUCCAUGUACUACCGUCAAAACUCUAUAAAUAUGUAAUUCAAGUUCAUGCAAAGAUUCUUGUUCUUAAUAUUAAUUCUGACUUUUUUCUUUAAAAGAGAAAAGGUAAGUACAGGACAUCCGUGUACUUCUUAAUUAAAAAAAAAAAAAAAAAAAAAAAAAAAAAAGGGGUACUAAUUUCGUUAAGACUAUGAGAUCUUAUUGCAAAUUAUUUGAGUAAGUAUUUGAAAAUGAAAAUAAAAUGCACCUUUUAAAAUUUA